rnacentral:lncRNA from 1 species
CGAUCAUCAUAAGCGGUGCUUUGCUGACUUUGUACACAAAGUUUCAUCAAGGCAUUCAAUUAUAAUAAAAAUGCAAACAUAGAGACAAUAUACGGUAUGGUGUGGAGGCACACACAAAACAGACGUUGGAGAGGCUAGUGUAAGGUGACAUUGAUAAUGGUUCGAACAUCCCUAACAUUAGGCCUUAAGUCCAGUCUCCUCUACACGAACCGCAUCACUUAUUGCCACUGUGGAUAAUGAUUCCACUCUUCCGGCCCCUAUGAUUCUUCAACGCUACAAUUAUUGCUACUAUUUUCACGUCUGUGAUGAGUUUCGUUUUUAACAUCAUCACGAACAGUAGAAUACCUGCACUGGAGAUAUCUACAACACAAUCCACCAUUUCAUCUGGUGCUUUAUAUGUUUCAUGUCUAUGAUUUGAAUCACUUUAUCAUCAUUCACAUUUUGAGUUAGUCAAAAGUCUUCUAUCUUCCACACAUCACCACACCUAAAAGUGUUAGCAGGAGAGAGAUCUCCAUGCAUAAUUCCUUGGGCAUGCAUAUAUAUAAGACCAAUCAUAAUGUUUGCCAAAAUGUUCCAACACAUAUCAUCUGCCAUAAUCUUGUCAUUCUCUAGUAUAUCCUUUAAAAUGUUUUCACACAACUCCAUUUGAAUGUAUAGAUGAGAGAGAUCAACGUAGUUGAUUGGUGAACUCCCUCCAUCAUCAUCAUUCACAACAUCGUUUAGACCAACCAAAAAUGGCUCAAGCCAUACCAUAUGGUACCGUACGAUAUGUUGGGGGCUGAGUUUGGUGUUUAUGAUGGAAAAGAGCUCAUAACUUCUUAGAGGGUUGCGAUCAUCAUAAGCGGUGCUUUGCUGACUUUGUACACAAAGUUUCAUCAAGGCAUUCAAUUAUAAUAAAAAUGCAAAUAUAGAGACAAUAUACAGUAUGAUGUGGAGGCACACACAAAACAAACGUUGGAGAGACUAGUGUAAGGUGACAUUGAUAAUGGUUCGAACAUCCCCAACAUUAGGCCUUAAGUCUAGUCUCCUCUACACAAGCCGCAUCACUUACUGCCACUGUGGAUAAUGAUUCCACUCCUCCGGCCCCUAUGAUUCUUCAACGCUACAAUUAUUGCUACUAUUUCCACGUCUGUGAUGAGUUUCGUUUUUAACAUCAUCACGAACAGUAGAAUACCUGCACUGGAGAUAUCUACAACACAAUCCACCAUUUCAUCUGGUGCUUUAUAUGUUUCAUGUCUAUGAUUUGAAUCACUUUAUCAUCAUUUUCAUCAUUCACAUUUCGAGUUAGUUAAAAGUCUUCUAUCUUCCACACAUCACCACACCUAAAAAUAUUAGCAGGAGAGAGAUCUCCAUGCAUAAUUCCUUGGGCAUGCAUACCAACCAUGAUGUUUGCAAAAAUGUUCCAACACGUAUCCUCUGUCAUAAUCUUAUCAUUCUCUAGUAUAUCCUUUAAAAUGUUGUCACACAACUCCAUUUGAAUGUAUAGAUGAGGGAGAUCAACGUAGUUGAUUGGUGAACUCCCUCCAUCAUCAUCAUUCACAACAUCGUUUAGACCAACCAAAAAUGGCUUAAGCCAUACCAUAUGGUACCGUACGAUAUGUUGGGGGCUGAGUUUGGUGUUUAUGAUGGAAAAGAGCUCAUAACUUCUUAGAGGAUUGCGAUCAUCAUAAGCGGUGCUUUGCUGACUUUGUACACAAAGUUUCAUUAAGGCAUUCAAUUAUAAUAAAAAUGCAAAUAUAGAGACAAUAUACAGUAUGGUGUGGAGGCACACACAAAACAGACGUUGGAGAGGCUAGUGUAAGGUGACAUUGAUAAUGGUUCGAACAUCCCCAACAUUAGGCCUUAAGUCCAGUCUCCUCUACACGAGCCGCAUCACUUACUGCCACUGUGGAUAAUGAUUCCACUCUUCCGACCCCUAUGAUUCUUCAACGCUACAAUUAUU